rnacentral:rRNA from 1 species
GAAUCUUCCACAAUGGGCGAAAGCCUGAUGGAGCAACGCCGCGUGAGUGAAGAAGGUUUUCGGAUCGUAAAACUCUGUUGUAAGGGAAGAACAAGUACAGUAGUAACUGGCUGUACCUUGACGGUACCUUAUUAGAAAGACACGGCUAACUACGUGCCAGCCGCCGCGGUAAUACGUAGGUGGCAAGCGUUGUCCGGAAUUAUUGGGAUUGAAGCUCGCGCAGGCGGUCCUUUAAGUCUGAUGUGAAAGCCCACGGCUCAACCGUGGAGGGUCAUUGGAAACUGGGGGACUUGAGUGCAGAAGAGGAAAGUGGAAUUCCAAGUGUAGCGGUGAAAUGCGUAGAGAUUUGGAGGAACACCAGUGGCGAAGGCGACUUUCUGGUCUGUAACUGACGCUGAGGCGCGAAAGCGUGGGGAGCAAACAGG